AGCAUUUCUUGGUACUGGCAUAACAAUAGGCAUUGCCUCUCUUGGGAUCUUUGGUGUCUACAAACCCAAGACGUGGCCUCUCAUUGUGUAUUCAGUUCUAGUAUCUAUAGGGCUGGUGAUCUGCUUAAUUUUUGGUGUGCUGGCGGUGGCGUACAAAUCUGAGGUUAUAGAUGCCCUGAGAGAGUACCCGGCGCCUGAAGCUACAUACGGGUUGAUGGUUGGGAUUAUGUUUGCAAACACUGUUAUAGCG